rnacentral:tRNA from 1 species
CGGAAGGUAGCUCAGCGGUAGAGCGGCGGGUUGAAGACCCGCGCGGCGGCGGUUCGAUCCCGCCCCUUCCGGCCA